GCAAGUCGAACGGUAACAGGGGAGCUUGCUCCUGCUGACGAGUGGCGCACGGGUGCGUAACGCGUAUACAAUCUACCUUUUGCUGAGGGAUAGCCCAGAGAAAUUUGGAUUAAUACCUCAUGGUAUUAUUGAUAGGCAUCUAUUAAUAAUUAAAGGUUACGGCAAAAGAUGAGUAUGCGUCCCAUUAGCUAGUUGGUGAAGUAACGGCUCACCAAGGCAACGAUGGGUAGGGGUCCUGAGAGGGAGAUC
rnacentral:rRNA from 1 species